GGUUAAGCGACUAAGCGUACACGGUGGAUGCCCUGGCAGUCAGAGGCGAUGAAGGACGUGCUAAUCUGCGAAAAGCGUCGGUAAGGUGAUAUGAACCGUUAUAACCGGCGAUGUCCGAAUGGGGAAACCCAGUGCAAUUCGUUGCACUAUCGUUAACUGAAUACAUAGGUUAACGAGGCGAACCGGGGGAACUGAAACAUCUAAGUACCCCGAGGAAAAGAAAUCAACCGAGAUUCCCCCAGUAGCGGCGAGCGAACGGGGAGCAGCCCAGAGUCUGAAUCAGCUUGUGUGUUAGUGGAACGGUCUGGAAAGUCCGACGGUACAGGGUGAUAGUCCCGUACACCAAAAUGCACAGGUUGUGAACUCGAAGAGUAGGGCGGGACACGUGGUAUCCUGUCUGAAUAUGGGGGACCAUCCUCCAAGGCUAAAUACUCCUGACUGACCGAUAGUGAACCAGUACCGUGAGGGAAAGGCGAAAAGAACCCCGGCGAGGGGAGUGAAAAAGAACCUGAAACCGUGUACGUACAAGCAGUGGGAGCACCUUCGGGUGUGACUGCGUACCUUUUGUAUAAUGGGUCAGCGACUUAUAUUCUGUAGCAAGGUUAACCGUAUAGGGGAGCCGCAGGGAAACCGAGUCUUAACUGGGCGUUAAGUUGCAGGGUAUAGACCCGAAACCCGGUGAUCUAGCCAUGGGCAGGUUGAAGGUUGGGUAACACUAACUGGAGGACCGAACCGACUAAUGUUGAAAAAUUAGCGGAUGACUUGUGGCUGGGGGUGAAAGGCCAAUCAAACCGGGAGAUAGCUGGUUCUCCCCGAAAGCUAUUUAGGUAGCGCCUCGUGAAUUCAUCUUCGGGGGUAGAGCACUGUUUCGGCUAGGGGGUCAUCCCGACUUACCAACCCGAUGCAAACUACGAAUACCGAAGAAUGUUAUCACGGGAGACACACGGCGGGUGCUAACGUCCGUCGUGAAGAGGGAAACAACCCAGACCGCCAGCUAAGGUCCCAAAGUCAUGGUUAAGUGGGAAACGAUGUGGGAAGGCACAGACAGCCAGGAUGUUGGCUUAGAAGCAGCCAUCAUUUAAAGAAAGCGUAAUAGCUCACUGGUCGAGUCGGCCUGCGCGGAAGAUGUAACGGGGCUAAACCAUGCACCGAAGCUGCGGCAGCGACACUAUGUGUUGUUGGGUAGGGGAGCGUUCUGUAAGCCUGCGAAGGUGUGCUGUGAGGCAUGCUGGAGGUAUCAGAAGUGCGAAUGCUGACAUAAGUAACGAUAAAGCGGGUGAAAAGCCCGCUCGCCGGAAGACCAAGGGUUCCUGUCCAACGUUAAUCGGGGCAGGGUGAGUCGACCCCUAAGGCGAGGCCGAAAGGCGUAGUCGAUGGGAAACAGGUUAAUAUUCCUGUACUUGGUGUUACUGCGAAGGGGGGACGGAGAAGGCUAUGUUAGCCGGGCGACGGUUGUCCCGGUUUAAGCAUGUAGGCUGGUUAUCCAGGCAAAUCCGGAUAAUCAAGGCUGAGGUGUGAUGACGAGGCACUACGGUGCUGAAGUAACAAAUGCCCUGCUUCCAGGAAAAGCCUCUAAGCAUCAGGUAACAUCAAAUCGUACCCCAAACCGACACAGGUGGUCAGGUAGAGAAUACCAAGGCGCUUGAGAGAACUCGGGUGAAGGAACUAGGCAAAAUGGUGCCGUAACUUCGGGAGAAGGCACGCUGGUGUGUAGGUGAAGUCCCUGCGGAUGGAGCUGAGACCAGUCGAAGAUACCAGCUGGCUGCAACUGUUUAUUAAAAACACAGCACUGUGCAAACACGAAAGUGGACGUAUACGGUGUGACGCCUGCCCGGUGCCGGAAGGUUAAUUGAUGGGGUUAUCCGUAAGGAGAAGCUCUUGAUCGAAGCCCCGGUAAACGGCGGCCGUAACUAUAACGGUCCUAAGGUAGCGAAAUUCCUUGUCGGGUAAGUUCCGACCUGCACGAAUGGCGUAAUGAUGGCCAGGCUGUCUCCACCCGAGACUCAGUGAAAUUGAACUCGCUGUGAAGAUGCAGUGUACCCGCGGCAAGACGGAAAGACCCCGUGAACCUUUACUAUAGCUUGACACUGAACAUUGAGCCUUGAUGUGUAGGAUAGGUGGGAGGCUUUGAAGCGUGGACGCCAGUCUGCGUGGAGCCAACCUUGAAAUACCACCCUUUAAUGUUUGAUGUUCUAACGUUGGCCCCUGACCGGGGUUGCGGACAGUGUCUGGUGGGUAGUUUGACUGGGGCGGUCUCCUCCCAAAGCGUAACGGAGGAGCACGAAGGUUAGCUAAUCCUGGUCGGACAUCAGGAGGUUAGUGCAAUGGCAUAAGCUAGCUUGACUGCGAGCGUGACGGCGCGAGCAGGUGCGAAAGCAGGUCAUAGUGAUCCGGUGGUUCUGAAUGGAAGGGCCAUCGCUCAACGGAUAAAAGGUACUCCGGGGAUAACAGGCUGAUACCGCCCAAGAGUUCAUAUCGACGGCGGUGUUUGGCACCUCGAUGUCGGCUCAUCACAUCCUGGGGCUGAAGUAGGUCCCAAGGGUAUGGCUGUUCGCCAUUUAAAGUGGUACGCGAGCUGGGUUUAGAACGUCGUGAGACAGUUCGGUCCCUAUCUGCCGUGGGCGCUGGAGAAUUGAGGGGGGCUGCUCCUAGUACGAGAGGACCGGAGUGGACGCAUCACUGGUGUUCGGGUUGUCAUGCCAAUGGCACUGCCCGGUAGCUAAAUGCGGAAGAGAUAAGUGCUGAAAGCAUCUAAGCACGAAACUUGCCCCGAGAUGAGUUCUCCCUGAGACUUUAAGUCUCCUGAAGGAACGUUGAAGACGACGACGUUGAUAGGCCGGGUGUGUAAGCGCAGCGAUGCGUUGAGCUAACCGGUACUAAUGAACCGUGAGGCUUAACCUU
rnacentral:rRNA from 1 species